GUGAGCAAUCCUCCUCUUCUCCCCAGGGGCAGAGAUAUGCACGGAGGAGAGCCUGUCGGUUGGCCUCGGGGCCACCUGUAACCAGCUGGCCGAGUCUCUCUGCGCCUGCUGCGCCCUCCGGUAGCACACCUCCUGAGCAGUCGGGGGCCGGGCUGGGGGGGCCACGGGGGCCCUCCUUGGGGCCUCCGCCUGAAAGAACACAGGUCUUGGAGCCCAGCUCUGAGUCAAGAGCACUCGAGGCAGGCUGGAUGAGGAGCCCCGGGGUGGGAAGCCUUCCGCCAUCCCAGCUCCCUUGGCUUCCGGAAGCCUUGGUCCCAGGACCCUACUGUCCAGCAGUGCAGGGCAAUGGCGACCUGUCUGCGCACAUCUCAGAGAUGAAGCCUUCCUGAGAAACUGCAUCUGGGACCCUGCCCCCGUCCUGGGAGGCUUUAAGGACUAGUUCUGAAUGUCUGUGUGUGCCCGAGCUUGUCACCACAGCCCUGUGUGGCCUCUCCUGGGCGCAGAGGCUGGCUAGCCCGCUCAACUCUGCUACCCACGGCAAUCUGCCCCACUCCUCCCUGCAGCUCCUGUGCCUAGGUCAGGGACGAUGGACAGGCAGUGGACAGGGCAUGCUUCUCUACAGGACACCAGCUUACCAAAGGCCAGCAGCAGGGGGCCUGGGAUGCAGACCGGGGGGCAGGCCUUCUCCCUCCAGCUGCCCACCCUUAUCCCCAAAUCUGGGUCUUACCUCCUUGCCUGGCUUGCAGAGGUGGGAGACCCUUCUCUUCUGCCCCGGGAACAGAGUGGUCAGGCCUGCGUGCGCCUUCUCCACGGCCUUCUCUUUGGGGGGCUGAAAACACACAUGCACUCCUCACUCUAGGUCUUCCUUGGGGCACACCCCUGCCUUUCCACCCAGCCUCACGUCACCACCAGACCUCAGGUGGUGCUGCAAGUGAGAGCCCUACCCAGGAUCAGCACCCUGCGGCCCAAGGCCCGCCCCAGCACCUGCCUCCCAGGCUAGGGUGGCAGUUCUGUGGACAGGAGGACAAGUGGGCACGGCCCUGCUGCUGCCCCCACACCCAGCCCAGGGUGACGGCUCAGAUACGGAGUGCCAGUCAAGGGCAUCCCCGUAGGCCUAGUGCUGGAGGGAAAGGGCCAAGUCCAUCUUUGUCUGUUCAGGGAGGCUGAGGCAGCUCCGGGUUGUAUGGGUCAUAGCCAAGCCCUGGGAGGGAAGGAACAUGGACAGCCCCUGAGCCGGCCUGCCAGAGAUGGGCAAGGUAAGAGAGUCAGCUUUCCACAGCCUACUACACACCAGGCUUGGGCCCGAGGACAUCCCCACCAUGACACCGUGACACCGUGACGCCACCACUGGGUUGGGAUCGCUUGCCCUAUGCAGGACCUGGCAGAGGAUGACUGAUGGGUGCUGGGCUGUUGGAAGCCGACAGCCUGAAAUACAAGCUCUGCCAUCGAAGACGCAGCACAGUGAGGGACAGCGGUGGGAGCUCACAUCUGCAGCCUGAAGGACAAAAGAGGAGGCGCUCACAGGAAGCCUCCGCUGCCUAGAAGGGCAGGAACUUGGGGACAAGAACUCAGCACAUGCUGGGAACUGGCCAGAGCCCACUGACUUGUGGAAGGGAUUGGGGGAGACUGGGAAACAGGAAGUCAGUCCCUAGCCAGUACCGGAGGUCUCCAUUCAAGGCCAAAGGACUGAUAAAGGCCAAGAGACUGCUCGGGGUCCAGCCCAGCCUUGAGCUGAUAAGAGCUCCCAGCCCUGGAGGCGGGGAAGGAUGUUCCUCAAACACCACAGAGAAGGAGAGGCAGAGUGUGGGUAGUGUAGGGGUGCUGGUCCCAAGUUCUGGGGGCACAGGCUGCUCUGGCUGUCUCGGAUGGGUUCUGACUGGCACAGUCCUGAAUGCCAACCCCAGAGAGAUGGCCACACUGCUCAGGGUCUGCACAGGACUGUGACCCAUCUUUCCUAGGCUGGCCCUUCCCACCCCACAUUGGGACCCAGGCACCUACGCUUCCCUAAGCUCAACACUACUGGACAGAUGAGGUCACCCAAGCAGGAUCAAGCUCCAAGGCUACCUUAGCUGACUCAUGCACAGAGACCACACACACUGGCAGCAGGUCACCAGAGAGAGCUAUGGGAAGGAAGCUGCACACAAGUACGAGGUCUGGCCAGAGGAUGGCGCAGGCCUAGGGAGUGCCCCUCGGCCUCAGUAUGGGUGCACAGGUCUUAUCCUAGGAGGUCACCCUUAAGGAAUGUGCCCAGGAUCCUUGUGCCCCCAGGUCAUCCUCCAGAGCCUUUCCCCUGACUCUACAAGGUCAGUCCUUUAGGGUGACAGGGCUUCCAAGCACAUGUGGCCACUAAGUGGGAUGCAAGCAGACAGGUGCCUUGCAUGCCUAGGGCUCUCUCUGAGACAGGGACAGGCCUGAACCACCAUGGGCAUCCACCAAUCCAGAGCUCAGAGGAGCUGACAGGCAGGCGGGCCACAUGUUAACACCACCCUGGGACAGGGCUAGAGGUAGCCUUCCUUUUCCAUGGUCCACAAACGCUGUAAGUACUUUCCAGUCAAUAAAGAAAA